rnacentral:rRNA from 1 species
AUUGAACGCUGGCGGCAGGCCUAACACAUGCAAGUCGAGCGGAUGAGUGGAGCUUGCUCCAUGAUUCAGCGGCGGACGGGUGAGUAAUGCCUAGGAAUCUGCCUGGUAGUGGGGGACAACGUUUCGAAAGGAACGCUAAUACCGCAUACGUCCUACGGGAGAAAGUGGGGGAUCUGCGGACCUCACGCUCUCAGAUGAGCCUAGGUCGGAGUAGCUAGUUGGUGAGGUAAAGGCUCACCAAGGCGACGAUCCGUAACUGGUCUGAGAGGAUGAUCAGUCACACUGGAACUGAGACACGGUCCAGACUCCUACGGGAGGCAGCAGUGGGGAAUAUUGGGCAAUGGGCGAAAGCCUGAUCCAGCCAUGCCGCGUGUGUGAAGAAGGUCUUCGGAUUGUAAAGCACUUUAAGUUGGGAGGAAGGGCAGUAAGUUAAUACCUUGCUGUUUUGACGUUACCAACAGAAUAAGCACCGGCUAACUUCGUGCCAGCAGCCGCGGUAAUAC